UACAGAGGUCUCAAGCGUUGUUCGGAUUCAUUGGGCGUAAAGGGGUGCGUAGCGGCGCGGUAAGUCGGGUGUGAAAUUUCGAGGCUUAACUUCGAAACUGCAUUCGAUACUGCCGUGCUUGAGGACUGGAGAGGAGACUGGAAUUUACGGUGUAGCGGUGAAAUGCGUAGAUAUCGUAAGGAAGACCAGUGGCGAAGGCGGGUCUCUGGACAGUUCCUGACACUGAGACACGGAAGGCCAGGGGGAGCAAAACGGG
rnacentral:rRNA from 1 species